rnacentral:rRNA from 1 species
AUGAACGCUAGCGGCAGGCUUAACACAUGCAAGUCGAGGGGCAACACGGGUAGCAAUACCUGGUGGCGACCGGCGCAAGGGUGCGUAACGCGUGAGCAACAUGCCCUAUACAGGGGGAUAAUCCAGGGAAACUUGGUCUAAUAUCCCAUAGUAUUUAGAGGUGGCAUCACCACUAAAUUAAAGCUUCGGUGGUAUAGGAUUGGCUCGCGUGACAUUAGCUGGAUGGUGAGGUAACGGCCCACCAUGGCUAUGAUGUCUAGGGGUUCUGAGAGGAAGACCCCCCACACUGGGACUGAGACACGGCCCAGACUCCUACGGGAGGCAGCAGUGAGGAAUAUUGGACAAUGGAUGGAAAUCUGAUCCAGCCAUGCCGCGUGCAGGAAGACGGCCCUAUGGGUUGUAAACUGCUUUUAUAUGGGAGCAAUAAGGUUUACGAGUAGACCGAUGAGAGUACCAUAUGAAUAAGCAUCGGCUAACUCCGUG